rnacentral:rRNA from 1 species
CCUACGGGUGGUUGCAGUGGGGAAUAUUGGACAAUGGGCGAAAGCCUGAUCCAGCCAUGCCGCGUGUGUGAAGAAGGCCUUCGGGUUGUAAAGCACUUUCAGUGGGGAAGAAAGCCUUGGGGCUAAUACCCUCGAGGAAGGACAUCACCCACAGAAGAAGCACCGGCUAACUCCGUGCCAGCAGCCGCGGUAAUACGGAGGGUGCGAGCGUUAAUCGGAAUUACUGGGCGUAAAGCGCGCGUAGGCGGUGUGAUAAGCCGGUUGUGAAAGCCCCGGGCUCAACCUGGGAACGGCAUCCGGAACUGUCAGGCUAGAGUGCAGGAGAGGAAGGUAGAAUUCCCGGUGUAGCGGUGAAAUGCGUAGAGAUCGGGAGGAAUACCAGUGGCGAAGGCGGCCUUCUGGACUGACACUGACGCUGAGGUGCGAAAGCGUGGGUAGCAAACAGGAUUAGCUACCCUAGUAGUC